GCGGCAGGCCUAAUACAUGCAAGUCGGACGGUAACAGGUAGAUAGCUUGCUAUUUAUGCUGACGAGUGGCGGACGGGUGAGUAAGGACUGGGAAACUGCCCGAUAGAGGGGGACAACAGUUGGAAACGACUGCUAAUACCGCAUGAACCCUGAGGGGGAAAGAAGAAAUUCGCUAUCGGAUGUGCCCAGUUGGGAUUAGCUGGUAGGGGUGGUAAAGGCACACCUAGGCGAUGAUCUCUAGCUGGUCUGAGAGGAUGAUCAGCCACAUUGGGACUGAGACACGGCCCAGACUCCUACGGGAGGCAGCAGUAGGGAAUAUUGCACAAUGGAGGAAACUCUGAUGCAGCCAUGCCGCGUGUGUGAAGAAGGCCUUCGGGUUGUAAAGCACUUUCGGAGGGGAGGAGAAAGGACGUUACCCUCAGAAGAAGCACCGGCUAACUCCGUGCCAGCAGCCGCGGUAAUACGGAGGGUGCGAGCGUUAAUCGGAAUAACUGGGCGUAAAGGGCAUGCAGGCGGUUGGACAAGUAAGGUGUGAAAUACCGGGGCUUAACUUCGGGGCUGCACUUUAAACUAUCCGGCUAGAGUAUUGCAGAGGGAGACGGAAUUCCAGGUGUAGCGGUGGAAUGCGUAGAUAUCUGGAAGAACACCGGAGGCGAAGGCGGUCUCCUGGGCAAAUACUGACGCUCAGAUGCGAAAGCGUGGGGAGCAAACAGGAUUAGAUACCCCUGGGUAGUCCACGCUGUAAACGAUGUCGAUUAGAAGUUCGGGCACAAGCCUGGGUUUCGUAGCAAACGCGCUAA
rnacentral:rRNA from 1 species